rnacentral:rRNA from 1 species
CGGGACACGUGGUAUCCUGUCUGAAUAUGGGGGGACCAUCCUCCAAGGCUAAAUACUCCUGACUGACCGAUAGUGAACCAGUACCGUGAGGGAAAGGCGAAAAGAACCCCGGCGAGGGGAGUGAAAAAGAACCUGAAACCGUGUACGUACAAGCAGUGGGAGCCUCUUUAUGGGGUGACUGCGUACCUUUUGUAUAAUGGGUCAGCGACUUAUAUUCUGUAGCAAGGUUAACCGAAUAGGGGAGCCGAAGGGAAACCGAGUCUUAACUGGGCGUUAAGUUGCAGGGUAUAGACCCGAAACCCGGUGAUCUAGCCAUGGGCAGGUUGAAGGUUGGGUAACACUAACUGGAGGACCGAACCGACUAAUGUUGAAAAAUUAGCGGAUGACUUGUGGCUGGGGGUGAAAGGCCAAUCAAACCGGGAGAUAGCUGGUUCUCCCCGAAAGCUAUUUAGGUAGCGCCUCGUGAAUUCAUCUCCGGGGGUAGAGCACUGUUUCGGCAAGGGGGUCAUCCCGACUUACCAACCCGAUGCAAACUGCGAAUACCGGAGAAUGUUAUCACGGGAGACACACGGCGGGUGCUAACGUCCGUCGUGAAGAGGGAAACAACCCAGACCGCCAGCUAAGGUCCCAAAGUCAUGGUUAAGUGGGAAACGAUGUGGGAAGGCCCAGACAGCCAGGAUGUUGGCUUAGAAGCAGCCAUCAUUUAAAGAAAGCGUAAUAGCUCACUGGUCGAGUCGGCCUGCGCGGAAGAUGUAACGGGGCUAAACCAUGCACCGAAGCUGCGGCAGCGACGCUUAUGCGUUGUUGGGUAGGGGAGCGUUCUGUAAGCCUGUGAAGGUGUACUGUGAGGUAUGCUGGAGGUAUCAGAAGUGCGAAUGCUGACAUAAGUAACGAUAAAGCGGGUGAAAAGCCCGCUCGCCGGAAGACCAAGGGUUCCUGUCCAACGUUAAUCGGGGCAGGGUGAGUCGACCCCUAAGGCGAGGCCGAAAGGCGUAGUCGAUGGGAAACAGGUUAAUAUUCCUGUACUUGGUGUUACUGCGAAGGGGGGACGGAGAAGGCUAUGUUGGCCGGGCGACGGUUGUCCCGGUUUAAGCGUGUAGGCUGGUUUUCCAGGCAAAUCCGGAAAAUCAAGGCUGAGGCGUGAUGACGAGGCACUACGGUGCUGAAGCAACAAAUGCCCUGCUUCCAGGAAAAGCCUCUAAGCAUCAGGUAACAUCAAAUCGUACCCCAAACCGACACAGGUGGUCAGGUAGAGAAUACCAAGGCGCUUGAGAGAACUCGGGUGAAGGAACUAGGCAAAAUGGUGCCGUAACUUCGGGAGAAGG